UAGAGCGCACAGAAUGCCCACCCAAAUCACACCCUGACCAACCCAAAAAUAGAGACAUAAAAAGCUCUACUGUCAGGGCGUGACACAGGGAGAAAAUCUGCCUCAUGAUUUGCCAGUAACAAGGACUAUUUGUAGUGGUGAGAGCUUUACUUUGGCUAUAUGCUGUACUAUGUCAGUUUAGUCCGCACAGUUAUUUACUUAAGCCCCAUUCCGCAACCAAUUAGAGUAGCGCAGCUCCUCUUCAGUGUGAGAGUGUACCUGACGAGUAACGAGAGCUCUCUUUGGGUCUCUUUUCUAUCACGGCACUCUAUCGGUAGAGGAUGUCUGCACAGGUCCCCUGAGGACCAAGGGGUGCUGUGCUGUAACCAGACCUUGCACCUUGGGGUGGAGGCUGGGCACCAGUGGUCCUCAGGUGGCCACUUGUAUCUGCCAUGAUCCAGGCAAACACUGCUGUGGAGAGGAGUCAUACAACCCUCAGAAUGAAAUCUGCUGCAACGGACUGAAGUGAGUUGCUCUGUACGGUGGAAACUGCAAAGACUCAGCAGGUGGAGGGUUAUGCAUGUUAUGCUGCAGAGGGAAGACCUACGACCCCAGCAGUGGCCAGAUGAAGUCCGUUGCCGGGACUCUGUACGACCUUCAGGUUCAGGACAGGCUCUCAGAGGAUGCCCAGUGCUGUGGGAAUCUCCUGAUGGAGGCCGGCUCCACCUGCUGCUCCGACCCAGGACUAGACCUGCUCUACCCUACCCAGCCAGGGUUCACCUGCUGUGGGCACCGAUACCCCAACUCCUCCCUGUGGUCUUGCUGUGCGGGGGUCCUGCACCCAAGGCUUGAACCACACACCACCAGCAUGAACAUGACUCCAGGACCUAGGAUUCUACCACUGGGGAGCCUGAAGACGGAAGUCCUGUGUGACACCAGAGUUCUGCUAGGGACAGUGGAGAGUGUGUCUGUGAAGAGGAAUGAGCGGUCCAUCAUGAUGGGGAAGGUCAUGUCCAUGCAGGCCUUGUGUGGCCCUGUCAACGCCCUGCCUGCCCCUCACUACCUCACAUACUGCAGCUCUACUGAACUGGUGCCGGGCAACACUGACAUCUGGGUGGAAACAAGACAUUUCUCAGAAACAGUAAACUUCAUCUCUGAUCUCAGCGACUAUUCCUCCCUUCUCUCUUCCACCCUCUCCAGGUGCUCAAAAUUAUACUUUAACCAUAUUUUUUGAUGCUAUAUGGUGUUUGUUUAUAUUUACAUUGUUUACAAACAAUAGCUUUAAAAAAAGCUAAUUUUGUGUUCUGAUGGGGAAGGACAGUUUAUCUAAACUCGUGAGGCACACGUUAUAUUCUUCAAGAAUCAUUUGGUAUAUGAUUAGUUUACAGAUUGCCCCUUUAAGCUGUCAGUGGAUGUUUAAGAUAUUUUGAUUUGCUUACAAAAAACGACCGUGUUUAUGCUCUCUCAUGAGUCAUAUCUCAGGAUAAGCCAUAUGUAUGAUGUUUGUCUGGUUAGUGUUUUCUGUUAUUCUAUCACAAAAGUUCCUUUUUAAUGUUAUUGCAUUUUUAUGCAGAUCCAGCUAACAAACCAGGCUGGGUCUGAUGUAACCAUAUAGACAGCAGAGAAGUUGCCUGAACAAGCAAGCUUUGUAGCCAUGAGCAAUGUUUCUCCUCAGGGUCAGUGGGAACCCGUCGUUCAGGGCAGUUUUGAGCCCCACCUGUUUAGCUGAAAUGAAAAUGAAAAUAUAUUAUACAGUACCGGUAAAAAGUUUGGACACACCAACUCAUUCAAGGGUUUUCCUUUAUUUGUAUUAUUUUCUACAUUGUAGAAUAAUAGUGAAUACAUCAAAACUAUGACAUAACACAUAUGGAAUCAUGUAGUAACCAAAAAAGUGUUAAACAAAUCAAAAUAUAUUUUAUAUUUUUCAAAGUAGACACUCUUUGCCUUGAUGACAGCUUUGCACACUCCUGGCAUUCUCUCAACCAUCUUCAUGAAGAAUGCUUUUCCAUCAGUCUUGAAGGAGUUCCCACAUAUGCUGAGCAAUCAAAUUUGGACUCAUCAGACCAAAAACCAGAUUUCCAACUCUCUAAUGUCCAUUGCUCGUGUUUCUUGUCCAAAGGAAGACUCUUCUUCCUAUUGAUGUCCUUUAGUAGUGGUUUAUAUGCAGAAAUUCGACCACGAAGGCCUGAUUUCAAGCAGUUUCCUGUGAACGGUUGAUGUUGAGAUGUGUCUGUUACAUGAAUUAUGUGAAGAAUUUAUUUGGGCUACAAUCUGAGGUGCAGUUAACUCUAAUGAACUUAUCCUCUGCAGCAGAGGAGAGCAAGUUUCAUAAUAGCAUUUGAUGGUUUUUGUGAAUGUUCCGUACUGAUUGACCUUCAUGUCUUCAAGUAACGAUGGACUGUUGUUUCUCGUUGAUUAUUAAAGCUGUUCUUGCCAUAUGGACUUGGUCUUAUCAAAUAGGGCUAUCUUCUGUAUACCACUCUUACCUUGGUCACAAUACAAAUGAUUGGCUCAAAUUCCACAAAUUAACUUUCAACAAGGCACACCUGUUAGCGGACGACACAACAGUGGUAGGCUUGAUUACCAACAACAACGAGACGGCCUACAGGGAGGAGGUGAGGGCCCUCGGAGUGUGGUGUCAGGAAAAUAACCUCAUACUCAACGUCAACAAAACUAAGGAGAUGAUUGUGGACUUCAGGAAACAGCAGAGGGAACACCUCCCUAUCCACAUCGAUGGAACAGUAGUGGAGAAGGUAGCAAGUUUUAAGUUCCUCGGCAUACACAUCACAGACAAACUGAAUUGGUCCACCCACACAGACAGCAUCGUGAAGAAGGCGCAGCAGCGCCUCUUCAACCUCAGGAGGCUGAAGAAAUUUGGCUUGUCACCAAAAGCACUCACAAACUUCUACAGAUGCACAAUCGAGAGCAUCCUGGUGGGCUGUAUCACCGACCUGGUACGGCAACUGCUCCGCCCACAACCGUAAGGCUCUCCAGAGGGUAGUGAGGUCUGCACAACGCAUCACCGGGGGCAAACUACCUGCCCUCCAGGACACCUACACCACCCGAUGUUACAGGAAGGCCAUAAAGAUCAUCAAGGACAACAACCACCCGAGCCACUGUCUGUUCACCCCGCUACCAGAAGGCGAGGUCAGUACAGGUGCAUCAAAGCUGGGACCGAGAGACUGAAAAACAGCUUCUAUCUCAAGGCCAUCAGACUGUUAAACAGCCACCAAUAACAUUGAGUGGCUGCUGCCAACACACUGACUCAACUCUAGCCACUUUAAUAAUGGGAAUUGAUGGGAAAUGAUGUAAAAUACAUCACUAGCCACUUUAAACAAUGCUACCUAAUAUAAUGUUUACAUACCCUACAUUAUUCAUCUCAUGUGUAUACGUAUAUACUGUACUCUAUAUCAUCUACUGCAUCUUUAUGUAAUACAUGUAUCACUAGCCACUUUAACUAUGCCACUUUGUUUACAUACUCAUCUCAUAUGUAUAUACUGUACUCCAUACCAUCUACUGUAUCUUGCCUAUGCCGCUCUGUACCAUCACUCAUUCAUAUAUCUUUAUGUACAUAUUCUUUAUCCCCUUACACUUGUGUGUAUAAGACAGUAGUUUUGGAAUUGUUAGUUAGAUUACUUGUUGGUUAUUACUGCAUUGUCGGAACUAGAAGCACAAGCAUUUCGAUACACUCGCGUUAACAUCUACUAACCAUGUGUAUGUGACAAAUAAAAUUGGAUUUGAUUUUAAUUGAAAUGCAUUCCAUGUGCUUACCUCUUGAAGCUGGUUAAAAUAAUGCCAAGAGUGUGCAAGCUGUCAUCAAGGCAAGGGGUGGCUACUUUGAAGAAUUUCAAAUAUACUUUGAUUUGUUUAACACUUUUUUUGGUUACUACGUGAUUCCAUAUGUGUCAUUUCAUUGUUUUGAUGUCUUCACUAUUAUUCUACAAUGUAGAAAAUAUAAAAAAUUAAGAAAAACCCUUAAAUGAGGAGGUGAGUCCAAACUUUUGAUGGGUUAUUCUGCCCUUGAGUUGUGUUCCCAUGCAUAACUAGACAGAUAGCUAACAGCUAAGUCUUUAAUAAAACUCCCAAGAUGUGACUUUUCUUGAAUUAAUAUAUUGAAAACGUUUAUGUUGUGAAACUGCAAAAUACAGAAAAUAAUAUACUUUAGUAUUCAAUUCACACUGACAUACUGUAGCUGUACAUUACACAUUUAAAGUUGCAUAAAUGCCAAGCACGUGCUAUGGUACCAUGCAUUUGGCAUGAUGCCAAACCAUAUAGCUAAUUGUUACUCAUGUGGUACUUGGCUAACUCCUUUCAUUACUCUAAUAAUGUACAACCAUCUAUGUAGAAUAACAAAGCAUAUUACACUAGAAACAGUAACAAAACUACAGUAUUGUAUAUUUUACAAUUAGUUUGCAUGACGCACGAGCAAAGUAAUACAGCUAACGGCAUACAUGAAAGGCAUUGCAAUUUGUAUGAGUAAAUGCAACCAACCAACAUUGAUAUGUAAGCAACUCUAUCAAUAACAAGAUUAUCAUCACUAGCUAAAUGCUUGAAUCAAACUUACAAACAAAUAUUUUCCAAGGCUGAAGUGUGACAAGAAAUAACUACACUGAAAGACCUGCACCGUAGCGUUGUUUUUAGCUGCUUCUAUGCGUGCGGAACAAUUCCUGUUUGCGAAGUCUUUCUAAGUACCAGAAAGCUCCACUAGGGGGCGAAUAACACCAUGGAACACAAUGAAAAUCCAUCUUAACCAUUGUAAUAAAAUAAUCUGUUACCUUCUAAUAGGAUGGCAGCACACGGGUACUGUAUAUUAGAGGUCGACCGAUUAUGAUUUUUCAACGCCAAUACCGAUACCGAUUAUUGGAGGGCCAAAAAAAGCCGAUACCGAUUAAUCGGCUGGUUUAUAAAAUAUAUAUUUAUUUGUAAUAAUGACAAUUACAACAAUACUGAAUUAACACUUAUUUUAACUUAAUAUAAUACAUCAAUAAAAUCAAUUUAGCCUCAAAUAAUUAAUGAAAUGUGUUCAAUUUGGGUUAAAUAAUGCAAAAACAAAGUGUUGGAGAAGAAAGUAAAAGUGCAAUAUGUGCUAUGUAAGAAAGCUAACGUUUCAGUUCCUUGCUCAGAACAUGAGAACAUAUGAAAGCUGGUGGUUCCUUUUAACAUGAGUCUUCAAUAUUCUCAGGUAAGAAGUUUUAGGUUGUAGUAAUUAUAGGAAUUAUAGAACUAUUUCCCUCUAUAACAUUUGUAUUUCAUUAACCUUUGACUAUUGGAUGUUCUUAUAGGCACUUUAGUAUAGUCAGUGUAACAGUAUAGUAUAGCUUCCGUCCCUCUCCUCGCUCCUCCCUGGGCUCGAACCAGGAACACAACGACAACAGCCAUUGGCUGGUGUAAGGUUAAUACCAUGGGCUAGGAAAGGUUAAAUACAUUGGCCAUGCUGUCAACCCAGCAUGAUUUCUGCUAUGCUGAAAACAAAUGGAAACUCGGAAUUGGGAAGUUUUAGAUCUAAGUGAGUUCAAGAGAACUGAGAACUCUGGAAAAAAAACUAGCUCCACCUUGGAAAAUACAUUUUGAACAGUCAUCUAACUCGAAAUUCCCAGUUCAUUGCUUGCUUAUAUGCCCAUCUUAUCCUACGGUUCUGACUUGCUGUACAGGGAGAACACUGUAAGAACGUCCCAUGUUCUAAAUUUUUUUGCUGUACAUUUAAAACGUGCUGAACAAGUAGUUAUAUUGACUACGUCCACCCUAGCUCGCUAAUUAAUGUCUUACGGAUUACGGAUUGCGGAUUGCCUCUUAUCCACUUGUCCCCUUAUGCCAUAGUUUGUACAUCUCAAUUGUCAGUAGACAAGAGUGUGCAAAGCUCUCAUCAAGGCAAAGGGUGGCUACUUUGAAGAAUCUAAAGUAUAUUUUGAUUUGUUUACAGCAUGAUUCCAUAUGUGUUAUUUCAUAGUUUUGAUGUCUUCACUAUCAUUCUACAAUGUAGAAAAUAGUAAAAAAUUAAUUCCACCUGGUGAUCUGCUCACCGUCUGCUCUGGUUGUCUCCCCGUCUGGUACAGGUACCCCCCCCCCAACUCUCUCUCCCAAGCUUGCGCUCGCCUCCAGCACACAGGCACUGUUGGGGCGAGUGACUGAUCUUACAAUGGCUAGCCCCAAGUCAUUAUAUAUUUUAUUUUUCUCUUGUGCAUUUUGAUAUUUACCUCAAGACUCCUGCAUGCUUUGUUGACUACAAACUUUCUUUACCCAACCGUGGGACAGACUAUGUUCAUACACUAGGGACUCUGACUCUCUAUUGGUUGUACAGACCUUUGGCCUCCCAUUCUAACCACCUCUCGCCUGGUUUGUAUUCAUGUUCAAUUACAUUAUUAUUAUAUUCAAUUACAAAGCUCAUUGUUUGUUCCUGAGUUGUUGCUGAGUAGGACCACAGGUGAGUCAGUGAAGGCUGACUAUGAAAAUUACAUGAAUAAAGUCGACACAUUUGAAUGUAAAGAAUUGCAGCUUAUAACGAGGGGGCCUUCAAAAUACUUUUCAAAGUGUGUGUGUGUGUAUUACUUUAUCAUAUUUCUUAGAAAGGAUAACAGUACUACUCAUGGGUUAAGCUGAUCUUACCUUAGUAAGAUGGCGCCGAAGAAGAAGGCAGACGUUUUACGUGCCCUCAGCCGAUUGUGUUUUUUGUUAGUUUAUUUGCGUUUUUGUAACAAUUUUUUAAAACUUAUUUUGUACAUAAUGUUGCCGCUACCGUCUCUUAUGACCGAAUAUAACUUCUAGACAUCAGGCCUGCGAUUACUCACCAUGGACUGGCAGAAUCCUUUUUUUCCUUUCACCACUGACGGGCCAGACACAAAGGAUAUACUGCUUCCUCGGGAACAGGACCCGAUCCCCGUGAUCUGCGUGAAGAAGAAGGGGAGAAACAGGGGCCGAAGGGAGGGCUGCCUUCUGAGAAUUCGUAGGCAAUCGAAUAAACCCCCAUUCUGCUAGCAAAUGUGCAAUCCUUGGAGAAUAAAAUCGACGAGUUACGUGGAAGAUUAACAUACCAACAGGACAUAAAACAUUUCACAUCUUAUGCUUCACGGAGUCGUUGCUGAACAACGACAAUAUCAACAUACAGCUGGCUGGUUAUACGAUGUACCGGCAGGAUAGAACAGCAGCAUCUGGUGAGGCAAGGGGCGGCGGACUAUGUAUUUUUGUAAAUAAUAGCUGGUGCGCGAUAUCAAAUGAAGUCUCAAGCUAUUGCUCGCCUGAGAUAGAGUAUCUCAUGAUAAGCUGUAGACCACACUACCUACCGAGAGUGUUUUCAUCUGUAUUCUUCGUAGCUGUUUACGUACCACGACAGUCAGAGGAUGGCACUAAGAAUGAGCUGUAUUCUGCCAUAAGCAAACAAGAAAACGCUCACCCAGAGGCGAUGCUCCUAGUAGCCGUGGACUUUAAUGCAGGGAAACUUAAAUCCAUUUAACCAAAUUUCUAUCAGAAUGUUAAAUGUGCAACCAGAGGAAAAAUACAUCUGGACCACCUAUACGUGGUCUGAACGUGUACUGCGAGCAUGUGCUGACCAACUUGCAAGUGUCUUCACUAAAAUGUUCAACCUCUCCCUGUCUGAGUCUGUAAUACCAACAUGUUUUAAGCAGACCACCAUAGUGCCUGUGCCCAAGAACACUAAGGUAACCUGCCUAAAUGACUACCAACCCAUAGCACUCACAUCUGUCUGUAGCCAUGAAGUGCUUUUAAAGGCUGGUCAUUUUAUUUUACCUUAUUUAACUAGUCAGUUCAUUCAGUUAUUCACUACAGAAGUGAUACCUCCUAGCCGUUGAGUUAGCCACAGCAACUGCAAACGCGUGCUAGGAAAGAACAGACAGAGUAUCCAGUCUACCACACACCGAUGUUGUCACGUUCUGACCAUAGUUCUUGUGUGUUUUCCUUGUUUUAGUGUUGGUCAGGACGUGAGCUGGGUGGGCAUUCUAUGUUGUGUUUCUAGUUUGUCUGUUUCUGUGUUUGGCCUGAUAUGGUUCUCAAUCAGAGGCAGGUGUUAGUCAUUGUCUCUGAUUGGGAACCAUAUUUAGGUAGUCUGUUUUGUGUUGGGUUUUUGUGGGUGAUUAUUUCCGUGUCUGUGUUUGUUUCACCACACAGGACUGGUUUUUUUCUUCACAUUUAUUGUUUUGUAUAUUUGUAGUGUUUUCUCGGUAUUCGUCUUUAUUAAAGAUGUUUAACCCUAACCACACUGCGUUUUGGUCCGCCUCUCCUUCCCAGGAAGAAAGCCGUUACUACAACGUAUCCAAUUGACCACCAGAGACAUUCUUCAAAGGACUCGGUUGGGCAACACGCCUUCCAUCUACCACCAACCUACCGAAGCGCAGCUCAGACUUGGCAACAAGAGAUCCAGCAGGAAAGUCCCGUCCAGAACAACCAAUGAUAUUGCAUCAAUACCGUCAUCUCUACUCCCUUCAACGGAUCUCCCAUGAACCAUCGAUGACCUGUUCAUGAAUAACUUUCACACUGUGUGUGCGUAUGGAUCCCCGGUUUACUGACUUCUGGUGCAUUACCUCCCUAUGACUUGCACUCCCUGCAGAGAUGGUCAAAGGAAGAAAGGCCGGUGGUUCCUGGUCCCCUGGCUGAUUCCACCCCCCACGACACCCCAUCCGCCUCCCUUGGACAUCGAGUGAAGCCCCGUCCAUACAGUCAGAUCCCUCCUGGACUCCGGAAUUUGUGGGGUUCGGCUCCAGUACCCAGUGGACUGGAAAGUGUAAGGUCCAGAGGAGCAGUGUUGGUUUCGGUGGAUGACAUUCUAGAUCCCAACAUCAUUUGAGGGGAGGGGGGGAAGGGUACUGCCACAUCUACUCCUGCUCCCCCGCUCCGGUGGUAGACGUUGUGCCGGUUUACUAACCACAGGACCUGGAAACCCAUCUUUAUGCACACCUGGCAACCGUCAUUACGCACACCUGCGUCUCAUCAGUCACACUUGGACUUCAUAACUCAUUCUUUAUAUAGUACCCUUCUGUUAGUAGUCGUCAGGUAGUAAUGUUUAUGUUUCCAUGUAAGACGCUUCAUGUUUUGUGUCGUUCCAUGUUCAUUAUUAUUAAACUCACCAACUGCACUUGUUUCUUGACUCCCUGCGCCUACGUUACAGAUAAAUAUGUAUGUUUUUAAAACCGCAACACCGUCACCUGUUUUGUAUGCAACUGAAGGACUGGGCUGUGGAAAUGCAAUCCCUCUCAAAUGCAUAGACUGACAGUCCAUGACAGUUCAAGAGAUAGCAAAAUCACAUGUUAUAACAUUCUAACACCUGUGUGUAACGCAUUUUGACUGUAUCUGUAAACGACAGCCGUGCACCUGGUGAUUGGAACGGGUUACCUGGAGCAAAUCUUUAAAACGUUUUUUAAUGCCUUUAGGGGGUUCAAGGGGUCUAUGGCUGAGUAGGG
ensembl:lncRNA